AAAGUCGAGGGGCAGCAUAUAGAUUGCUUGCAAUUAUGAUGGCGACCGGCGCACGGGUGAGUAACGCGUAUCCAACCUACCCAUUACUAGGGAAUAACCCAGCGAAAGUUGGCCUAAUGCCCUAUGUAGUCGUUUGAUCGCCUGAGAUUUCGACGAAAGAUUUAUCGGUAUUUGGAUGGGGGAUGCGUCUGAUUAGCUUGUUGGCGGGUAAAGGCCCACCAAGGCAACGAUCAGUAGGGGUUCUGAGAGGAAGGUCCCCCACAUUGGAACUGAGACACGGUCCAAACUCCUACGGGAGGCAGCAGUGAGGAAUAUUGGGUCAAUGGGCGAGAGCCUGAACCAGCCAAGUAGCGUGCAGGAUGACGGCCCUAUGGGUUGUAAACUGCUUUUAUAUGGGAAUAAAGUGAGGGACGUGUCCCUUAUUGCAUGUACCAUACGAAUAAGGACCGGCUAAUUCCGUGCCAGCAGCCGCGGUAAU
rnacentral:rRNA from 1 species